rnacentral:rRNA from 1 species
UACGAAGGGGGCUAGCGUUGUUCGGAAUCACUGGGCGUAAAGCGCACGUAGGCGGAUCUUUAAGCCAGGGGUGAAAUCCCGAGGCUCAACCUCGGAACUGCCUUUGAUACUGGGGAUCUCGAGUCCGGGAGAGGUGAGUGGAACUGCGAGUGUAGAGGUGAAAUUCGUAGAUAUUCGCAAGAACACCAGUGGCGAAGGCGGCUCACUGGCCCGGAACUGACGCUGAGGUGCGAAAGCGUGGGGAGCAAACAGG